rnacentral:rRNA from 1 species
CCUACGGGGGGCAGCAGUGGGGAAUAUUGCGCAAUGGGGGAAACCCUGACGCAGCAACGCCGCGUGGAGGAAGAAGGUUUUCGGAUUGUAAACUCCUGUCUUCUGGGACGAUAAUGACGGUACCAGAGGAGGAAGCCACGGCUAACUACGUGCCAGCAGCCGCGGUAAUACGUAGGUGGCGAGCGUUGUCCGGAAUUACUGGGCGUAAAGGGCGCGUAGGCGGCUCUUUAAGUCAGAUGUGAAAACCCGAGGCUUAACUUCGGGAGUGCAUUUGAAACUGGGGAGCUUGAGUGCAGGAGAGGUAAGUGGAAUUCCUAGUGUAGCGGUGAAAUGCGUAGAUAUUAGGAGGAACACCAGUGGCGAAGGCGACUUACUGGACUGUAACUGACGCUGAGGCGCGAAAGCGUGGGGAGCAAACAGGAUUAGAUACCCUAGUAGUC